AUUACUGAGUUUACGCUCUACAACCCUUUGUGAACAUACCUAUAACUGUUGCUUCGGCGGGUAGGGUCUCCGUGACCCUCCCGGCCUCCCGCCCCCGGGCGGGUCGGCGCCCGCCGGAGGAUAACCAAACUCUGAUUUAACGACGUUUCUUCUGAGUGGUACAAGCAAAUAAUCAAAACUUUUAACAACGGAUCUCUUGGUUCUGGCAUCGAUGAAGAACGCAGCGAAAUGCGAUAAGUAAUGUGAAUUGCAGAAUUCAGUGAAUCAUCGAAUCUUUGAACGCACAUUGCGCCCGCCAGCAUUCUGGCGGGCAUGCCUGUUCGAGCGUCAUUUCAACCCUCAAGCUCUGCUUGGUGUUGGGGCCCUACAGCUGAUGUAGGCCCUCAAAGGUAGUGGCGGACCCUCCCGGAGCCUCCUUUGCGUAGUAACUUUACGUCUCGCACUGGGAUCCGGAGGGACUCUUGCCGUAAAACCCCCCAAUUUUCCAAAGGUUGACCUCGGAUCAGUAGGAAUACCCGCUGA
rnacentral:rRNA from 1 species